ACGGAAGGCAGCAGUGGGGAAUAUUGCGCAAUGGAGGCAACUCUGACGCAGCAACGCCGUGUGCAGGAUGACGGCCUUCGGGUUGUAAACUGCUUUCAGUAGGGAAGAAGUAAUUGACGGUACCUACACAAGAAGCUCCGGCUAACUACGUGCCAGCAGCCGCGGUAACACGUAGGGAGCAAGCGUUAUCCGGAUUCAUUGGGCGUAAAGCGCGCGCAGGCGGAUUUUUAAGCGGAACUGUUAACCCGAGGGCUCAACCCCCGGUAGUGUUCCAAACUGGAAAUCUUGAGUGCGGUAGGGGCGAGAGGAAUUCCAUGUGUAGCGGUGAAAUGCGCAGAUAUAUGGAAGAACACCUAUGGCGAAGGCAGCCUGCUGGGCCGACACUGACGCUCAGGUGCGAAAGCUAGGGGAGCAAACAGGAUUAGAUACCCUGGUA
rnacentral:rRNA from 1 species